UGGGGAAUCUUGGACAAUGGGCGCAAGCCUGAUCCAGCCAUGCCGCGUGAGUGAUGAAGGCCCUAGGGUUGUAAAACUCUUUCGUGGGGGACGAUAAUGACGGUACCCCAAGAAGAAGCUCCGGCUAACUUCGUGCCAGCAGCCGCGGUAAUACGAAGGGGGCUAGCGUUGUUCGGAUUUACUGGGCGUAAAGCGCGUGUAGGCGGACUGGAAAGUUGGGGGUGAAAUCCCGAGGCUCAACCUCGGAACUGCCUCCAAAACUUCCAGUCUGGACUCAAGUAGAGGCAAGUGGAAUUGCGAGUGUAGAGGUGAAAUUCGUAGAUAUUCGCAGGAACACCAGUGGCGAAGGCGACUUGCUGGACUUGUAGUGACGCUGAGACGCGAAAGCGUGGGGAGCAAACAGGAUUAGAUACCCCGGUAGUCCCUGAGCGGGCUGGCAAGGCGCAU
rnacentral:rRNA from 1 species